rnacentral:rRNA from 1 species
AGAGUUUGAUCCUGGCUCAGGAUGAACGCUGGCGGCGUGCUUAACACAUGCAAGUCGAACGAAGCACUUUAUUUGAUUUCCUUCGGGACUGAUUAUUUUGUGACUGAGUGGCGGACGGGUGAGUAACGCGUGGGUAACCUGCCUUGUACAGGGGGAUAACAGUUGGAAACGGCUGCUAAUACCGCAUAAGCGCACGGCAUCGCAUGAUGCAGUGUGAAAAACUCCGGUGGUAUAAGAUGGACCCGCGUUGGAUUAGCUAGUUGGUGAGGUAACGGCCCACCAAGGCGACGAUCCAUAGCCGACCUGAGAGGGUGACCGGCCACAUUGGGACUGAGACACGGCCCAAACUCCUACGGGAGGCAGCAGUGGGGAAUAUUGCACAAUGGGGGAAACCCUGAUGCAGCGACGCCGCGUGAGCGAAGAAGUAUUUCGGUAUGUAAAGCUCUAUCAGCAGGGAAGAAAAUGACGGUACCUGACUAAGAAGCACCGGCUAAAUACGUGCCAGCAGCCGCGGUAAUACGUAUGGUGCAAGCGUUAUCCGGAUUUACUGGGUGUAAAGGGAGCGCAGGCGGUGCGGCAAGUCUGAUGUGAAAGCCCGGGGCUCAACCCCGGUACUGCAUUGGAAACUGUCGUACUAGAGUGUCGGAGGGGUAAGCGGAAUUCCUAGUGUAGCGGUGAAAUGCGUAGAUAUUAGGAGGAACACCAGUGGCGAAGGCGGCUUACUGGACUGUAACUGACGUUGAGGCUCGAAAGCGUGGGGAGCAAACAGGAUUAGAUACCCUGGUAGUCCUAGGGCCAC